rnacentral:rRNA from 1 species
UACGGAGGGUGCGAGCGUUGUCCGGAAUCACUGGGCGUAAAGGGCGCGUAGGCGGCAUGCCAAGCGUGUGGUGAAAGCCCGGGGCUCAACCCCGGGUCGGCCGUGCGGACUGGCAUGCUCGAGCACUGUAGGGGCGGGUGGAAUUCCGGGUGUAGCGGUGGAAUGCGCAGAUAUUGGGAGGAACACCAGCGGCGAAGGCGGCACUCUGGGCUGGUACUGACGCUGAGGAGCGAAAGCGUGGGUAGCGAACAGG